AACACUCCCCAUCAAAGGCUCUGCCUUGGAUACCAGUGUUUCUCAAACUUGGAUCCCCAGCUGUUGUUGGACUACAACUCCCAUCAUCCCUGACCACCGGUCCUGCUAGCUAGGGAUGAUGGGAGGUAUUGUCCAACAACAGCUGAGGACCCAAGUUUGAGAAGCACAACAAACACCUGAGACACAGCAGUGGGGGUGUCUAUUUUUUACAAGACAUUUUUAGCCUUGGCCCCAAGGCUUUGGAAUUACUUGCUGGGAAAAUCCACUCUGCCCCCUAUUUGUUGGCUUUUCAGUGCCAUAUUAUGCUAGUUUUAUUUCGCUGAGGAGCAUCUCUGAAGUUCAGCAAGCUCCUGGCUUUCCUGUGCUGCUGCAAAGUAUUGUGUGAAAAAUGGUUUUAUUGCCGGUUUAUCUUUCCUUCUUAUCAAGCAGUUUGUACAUUUUAUGCAUUGUUUUUACUGUUGAGGGAUCUAUGCCGAAAACACACAAUAUAAAUGCUUUCAAUAC